CGGGGACCCCCAGCCCCACAGAGACACUGAGGGGGACCCCCAGCCCCACGGAGACAGCGAGGAGGACCCCCAGACCCACGGAGAGAGCAAGGGGGGGAACGAGGACCCCUAGACCCAUGGGGACAGCAAAGGGGACCCCCAGCCCCAUGGGGACAGCGAGGAGGAGGAUGAGGACCCCCAGCCCCACUGAGACACCAAGAGGGACCCCCAGCCCCAUGGAGAAAGCAAGGGGGACCCUCAGCCCCACGGAGACACCGAGGAGGACCCCUAGACCCAUAACAACAGCGAGGGGGGGACGAGGACCCCCAGCCCCACGGAGACACCAAGAGGGACCCCCAGUCCCAUGGAGACAGCGAGGGGGGGAGCGAGGACCCCCAGCCCCACAGAGACAGUGACGGGGACCCCCAGCCCCACAGAGACACUGAGGGGGACCCCCAGCCCCACGGAGACAGCGAGGAGGAGGAUGAGGACCCCUAGACCCAUAGAGACAGUGACGGGGGGGACAAGGACCCCCAGCCCCAUGGGGACUACGAGGGGGAUCCCCAGCCCCACGGAGACAGCGAGGAGGACCCCUAGACCCAUAACGACAGUGAGGGGGGGAAUGAGGACCCCCAGCCCCAUGGGGACACCGAGGGGGGGGACGAGGACCCCCAGCCCCACGGAGACACCGAGGGGGACCCCCAGCCCCAUGGGGACAGCGAGGAGGAGGAUGAGGACCCCCAGCCCCACUGAGACACCAAGAGGGACCCCCAGCCCCAUGGAGAAAGCAAGGGGGACCCUCAGCCCCACGGAGACACCGAGGAGGACCCCUAGACCCAUAACAACAGCGAGGGGGGGACGAGGACCCCCAGCCCCACGGAGACACCAAGAGGGACCCCCAGUCCCAUGGAGACAGCGAGGGGGGGAGCGAGGACCCCCAGCCCCACAGAGACACCGAGGGGGGGGAUGAGGACCCCCAGCCCCACGGAGACAGUGACGGGGACCCCCAGCCCCNNNNNNNNNNUGUGACGUCACUGUGGGGCAUCCCCUCCGUUGUGAUGUCACGUCACCAUGUGCCCCUCCGUCGUGAUGUCACGGUGUCCCCGUGUGAUGUCACUGUGACGUGUCCUCUCCAUCGUGAUGUCACGGCGUCUCACGUGACGUCACUAUGAUGUGUCCUCUCCGUUGUGAUGUCAUGGUGUCCUCGUGUGAUGUCACUAUGACGUGUCCCCUCCGUCGUGAUGUCACAGUGUCUCGUGCGACGUCACCGUGACCCGUCCCCUCCAUCGUGAUGUCACGGUGUCCCCUUGUGACGUCACUGUGACGUGUCCUCUCCAUCCUGGUGUUAUGGCACGUCCAUGUGAUGUCACCGUGAUGUGUCCCCUCUGUCGUGAUGUCACGGUGUCACCAUGUGAUGUCAGUGUGAUGUGUUCCCUCCAUCGUGAUGUCACGGUGUCUCACGUGAUGUCACUGCGGGGCAUCCCCUCCGUUGUGAUGUCACGGCGUCUCACGUGAUGUCACUGUGACACGUCUCCUCGGUUGUGAUGUCAUGGUGUCCCCCUGUGAUGUCAGUGUGGCAUGUCCCCUCCGUCGUGAUGUCACUGUGGGGUCUCCCCUCCGUCGUGAUGUCACGGUGUCUCGUGUGAUGUCACUGCGGGGUGUCCCCUCCGUCGUGAUGUCACAGCGUCUCACGUGAUGUCACUGUGAUGUGUCCCCUCCGUCGUGAUGUCACGGCGUCCCCGUGUGACGUCACUGUGACGUGUCCCCUCCAUCCUGGUGUUAUGGCACGUCCAUGUGAUGUCACUGUGAUGCGUCCCCUCCGUCGUGAUGUCACGGGGUCCCCGUGUGAUGUCACUGUGAUGCGUCCCCUCCAUCGUGAUGUCACGGUGUCCUCGUGUGACGUCAGUGUGGGGCAUCCCCUCCAUUGUGAUGUCACGGUGUCCUCGUGUGAUGUCACUGCGGGGCGUCCC
rnacentral:lncRNA from 1 species